CUAGCCUUACAUCCCACACUACGUCCUCCUCCAUCCUCGUUAGCCGCCGCCGCCGUUCUGCCUCCCUCCUCUCUACCCUACAACCACGCCGGCGGAAGGAAGCCUCCGUUCGUGGCGCCAUACCACUGCCGGUGUGCUGUGCACGCUUCGUUCCCCACAGCCCCUCCCUCAUCCUCGCUCGGCACCGCCGCUGCCUGCUACUCCCCUCCACCACCGUUGCUACUUGUGGGUCGAAUCUAGCAUUGGUGGGUCAGAGCUCAAGCUAGAGGCCGAGACGGGGCUGGGCGAGCGGAUUCCAGGUGCGGGUUCGCCCUCUCCCCGCGCGGCGCGUGCGCAUCACGCCGUCUACGGGAGCGUGGGGGCAGGCCUCGCCCGCACCCCUCCGCCCUACCUCCCUCCUCGAUCUCUCUCCCUGGUCAGCCGCCACCAACCCUAGCCCCCUUUCAUACGCUGACUCCUCCAUACUCUGUCUCUGUCCGUGCAGGCGGCCAUCUUCGUUCCACCCCGAGCUUCUCAUCCUCCUUCCUUGCUUCUCUACUCCCACACGAAGGAGGAAGAUGCAAAUGGCGUCGGCUUUGGGAGAUAGCUCGCCCGGCUGCAGGGAAGGGCGACGGGACCGGCAUCCUGGGCGGUGGCGACGGUUGGACUCCAGGAGCUGCCGAGGUUGUCCUCACCAAGGAAGCGGCCGACAGCGCAAGGUAUAGAAGAGGGCACCGCCACCCGUGUGCAGCUCCGCCAUCGCCUCCCUCCAUUGCUGAUCUCCAUCUUAUCUCUUUCUGCAGGGAGGGCUCGUCCUUACGUGGUGCUCAACCGGCGAUUGAGAUUUGGAGGGAGACUAGGAGACCCCGGCGAAAACGAGCGUGCUAGCGGUGGCUCCGGGAAUGCAGGGUGAUAGGGCCCAGUCUAUGCUCCGGUUGUGUUGUUGGGUGAGCUUCUUCACACUUCCGGUUGUGCUGUUGGUUCCAGUCUAUGAGCAGUUUUUUUUGUUUAUUUCUGUCAACCAGAUGCUCAGAUCUAGCUAGGCUCCCAUAUAGAUUUUUUUAAGCUUUUAAAUUUGUUGUGUGCCUCGGAUAAGUUACUGCAAAUGGGAUUAUUGUUCCUGCUCAGGAGAUGCUCUCUGACCUGACUAGAGUCAUAGAAAGAUUUUUUUUGCCAUUCUUAGUUUGUCAAGAAAGGAAUCGAUUUGUCCUGGAUCUCCUGUCCCCUUUAUAAAGGAGAUUUUUGUUCCUUUGCUUGAUGUGUUUCCCUCCUUUCAAGUGUAGGAUUUUCGGGAUGGGCCUUCCUAUCCAUAAGUUUGUCUUUAUACUGCAUAUUAGUUCACUCUUUUGGGUAGGUAACUAAAGUCCUGUAACUUCACUGAAUCAUUGAAGUUGUCUUUCCCAAUCCGAGUUUUGCUUUACAACAACUUGAUUGCUUGUGUAUUUGUGUAGUUUUCUGCAUAUUCAUACAGCUCUGAAUGUUGUUCCGUUCCUUGAUAAAUACAUCGCUCUACAGGGUUGAUUAAAGAAGUUAACUCUUCUUCAUAGCAGUUUUUCAAAUGCCCUGAUGGGAUGACCCUAAACAUGGAUAGUUUAACUUGGUAUAUCAGCUCAAACACCUGAUCGGCAAAAUGGAGUUCUAUUGGUCCUAAUUGCCGUUCUAAAUCCUUCAAAAAGAAAAAGAAAAGUGCUAUACUAAAUAAACUAUCUGCUCUAUUAUUUUUAUUUUUAGUCUUGCUUCCAUCCAUCUAUUUAUAGUACCCUGGGUAGCUACAGCAGUGAUGCUCUUUCUUUCUCUGUAGGGAAGCUUCUGGACGGGAUUUAGACAAGGAAACGGAAACCCGUGCGAAAUCGAGCAUCCUGGUGGUGCCUCGACCAAAGCGGGUCGACGGAUAGUGCCGGUGAGCACGGAGCAUGGUGCAGCGAGUUGGAUAGGCGGCAAGAGAGGUGACCACGGGUGUGGCUUGGGGAGCUCCGCACACAUGAAGUGAUGAUGAGUGCAUCCGACCCCACCAUGCUGCUGUUCCUGGAGAACAAGGUAUUGGCAUUUGUCAUUGUACAACACUAGCGAACCGGCAAGCAAUGCAGUUGUUUAUUCCUUUCCCCUGUAAACUAUGAACUGAAUGGCUACUGUGUUGAUGCAUAUUUGUUUAACUGAAGUUUAGUUUUAUUAUGUCCAUACCUUUGAUUCGUUCUACUUUAGUGUGGUCUGAGAUAUAAUGAUUUAUUUCAUGUGUAUCACAUAUCUAUUUAUACUUAGUUUGGAAAUUGCAGCAUCCUCUCCUAACUGUCCGAAUGGGGGCUUUUAGCUAAUUCUUACCAAGCACCUAAAUUUCUAAAACUGCAAAGAUAUUAAAGAAACACAAACUGUUUCAGAAUACUCCAGGAUUGAAUUUGGGCAUUGCGCCUUAAUAAGAUAUCAAUCAAAAGCUUAGUGAAAAAUAAAUAUAUUACCAACGCGAGGUACUGAAUUAAAAUGUGCAUCUACAUCUUAUUGUACAGAACAAGCUUACUUAUUUUAAUUAAAGGGGUAUAUAUAUAUAUCAAAUCAGUAUAGGCCUUUUUAACUUUGAGCUAACACAGAAAAUUGUAUAGCGAGAAUUUACGAUCGCAUUUUGAAAACUCUAUUGCAUAGUUUGAACCUUCAAUUUUCAUUACUAAAAGGAUCGUUGGUAUUGCCAAAUUGCCAAGCAUUUAUUUUCAAUUACUCUUGGUUUGACAUGGACAUUGUGCCAUUUGGUGCCAUUCGAUGCCCAACUCCUAUCAUUUGUUGCAUUUAUCUAUUCUAGAUAAAAUGAUGAUAAAAUGAAAUGAAUCUUCAGUGUUGGGACUGAUGAUCGGCACUUGUUGUCUAAAUGCAGUACAUGCGCAUUGCAGCGGUAAUGUUGUUAUCUGUCCCUGUAUAUUCCUUAGUUAGAUGUCUCAGUAAGUUCAGUAUAUCAUCGUCUACUUAGACAAAAUACAUCAUGGUCAAACAAUACAAAUAUUUCACAAGUAGAAAAGGCAUACAAAUAUUAAUUUUCAGUAAAAUGAUGAAGUGUUCAGAUAUAUCAAUGCUUUCACCUCACUUGUCAUGCUGUUAUGAACUAUAUUUUUUGUGUAAUUGCUAUAUCAGAAUUGAAGUAACCCAUUCGACGCUUGACUGUAUCUUAGCAUGCUUAUUGAGUACAUUCCUUAUGUCAUUUUUACAGAUAAAUUAAUUUGUGUCAAGUAUCGCUUUUUGCCAUAUGGACAUGACAAGUUGUCAUACAUUGGCCUGUCAAAUUUAUCGGGUGCCAAGUUCACUUGCCAUAUUCUCAAUUUUGUUUCUUCUGAUUUUGGUGUUGGUGUGUGUAUUGUUAGUGAAAAUAUGCUCAUAGUUUUUUUAAAUAUGUGUACGCCAUUAACUGAUGUCAUUGUGUUUUCCAGGGGUAUAUGAACCAGAAAUGAUGUGAUAUACUUGGUUAUUUGAACAUGAAGGUCAACCACGGGGUGGCGCGACAUGGGUGAGCUGAAAUUGUUCUACUGAUUCCUUGAUGCUUUGUUCAUUGCUUUGUUCUUAUUUUAUCGUUCUUUAUUUGCUUUGUUCUUUCCUACAAGAAGAUGCCGAGUCGUGCAAUAUGUUCAAAGAAGUGAGAAUCUGCAUUUUAUGAAUGUUUUCUUCUUUCUUCAUUGUUACCUCAAGUCAGUGAAUUCAGUUAAAUUGUACUGAGCAGCUUCAUACGCAUGGUUUCUCCAUCUACACAUCUUAUUCAGUCACGAGGCCAUUAAGAUCUUUUUGACUUUUAUAAAAAGGGUGAUGCCAAUUGGACGUCACCCUGUCCAACUUGAUCUUUAACUUGCUAUUACUGUUUGGAUCUUCACAUUCAAGGAUUUUUCAUUAAAUCGUCGGUUCACCAGUUCUUUGUUACUUGAGAUAUUGUGAUAAACUUAUAUCAUUGCUUACUAUACAUAUGUCUGGAUGAUGCCUGCAGGCUCAUUACAAGCUUCAGGUGGAUCAAAUAGUGGGCCUUCUAUAUAUAUAUUCAGCUGUAUCAUUUCUUACUAUAUAUGUCUUCCUGUAGACGAGACGAAACCAUACAUGGAUCCUUUGCCUCCUUUCUUGCUCAGACCCCAUGAUACAACCUCGGCGGUUGUCCAGCGACUAACAGGUAAUUUCUCUUUCAAUUUGAUGAUGAUGGAUGAGAAUCAGUUCUAUGAUUGCAGCUUAUAAAAACAGAUGUUGGAUGUCCCUUAUGUGAUGUGCUUAUUUACCAUGAUAGAUGCAAUUGCUUAUUAGUAGGUGCUCUCCGAAUCCUUCUUUAACUAAUUUACUUUGAAGUUCGGACAAAGGAGACUAUAACUUUUUAUAUUCGUUCUAUCAUGGAUUCCCUCUCUAGCCUAUGUACGUUUCAGAAAUAGGUACACACCUAGGAGAAGCCUGAGACCUAAUAAUAGUGCUAAGCAAUUACUCUGAUUGUCAUUCUAUGCUAUCAUCACAACACAGGUCAAUAGACAGUCAACAAAUGUGUAAUCAGCUUUCCCUGGGUCCUGCAUCAUCUACUAAUAAUCAAAUUUUGUGGCGAGUGUCUUAUAAAUCAGCAUACCUAUUUCUCCACACUGGAUAGCUUUUAUUGUGACUACAAAGAAUAUCGUUUGAGGAUGGCAUGCCAAUUGUUCUAUGUCUUGGGUAUGAAGUAAUUUCUAAAAUGUCUUAGGUUUCCCUAUAAAUUCUGCAAAUUUGCGGCAUGUCAUUAAAACCUACAGGGUGCUCCACCGAUGGUGAAAAUACCUCACAUGAUGAUGUUGGAUAUUCUUCUACAAACUUCUGGCCUACUAGUGGCUGAGUAUCGAAGCAAAAUGUGACAGUUGCAUGAUGUGGUUGACUGUUUAUUUGCAUACAGCAAUAUCAUCUUUUGGAGAUAAAACAGCCGUAUGGAUGUUACAUGAGACCAUGUCGGAAGACCCUGCUGCUAUGUAAGCAAAAGGAUUCAUGAUACCCACGGUGAAAACAGAGAUAAGAUGCUACAGUUAGAGCAGCAUUGAGAAACCGAGGACACGAAAUGAGUCUGAAAAAUGCUAUGGGCUGAUUUGUUCUAGCUAGGUACAUGCAAUGCUUCUCUUAUAUAUAUGCAACGUAACAUCGCGGAUAACUAGAACUGUUGUGAUGUUGCUCUAUUAUAAGUACAAAUAACUCAUGGUUAUCUUUUCUUAUGCAAUGUGUGGUAGAAGUUGUACUCACAGGAAGACUAUCGUGCUUUGUAUAAACCACAUUCUAUGAUUCACUUCUGUUAUGCUUAUUUACAUUCCAGUGUUAGGACUGAAAUCCAUCUAUUGUAAUGAAUUUGGUUAUAUUGGCAUUACCUAUUUGACUUAGGCUUGGUUCAUCACAUAUAGACUGUUUUUCUUGUAACCCGCUGCUUGUAUGACCUAAAACUGUCAUGUAUAUGAGGCAAGUUAUUAGCAAUGUUUCACAUUUUCUUACUUGCAAUACUAUGCUUGCCUGUUCAGGUCUUCCAAGACCUAAAUCAUCAGAAAUCCAGCAC
rnacentral:lncRNA from 1 species